AAUCAUUUCUGCUGGGAGGAAACUCUUUCCCCUCCUCCAGAUCCCGGAGCCUCGCCAGAAAGAAAUUCCUCAUUUCUCAUCCCUGCAGCUCUGGAAGAUCUGCUGCUGGUGACGCUCUUUGGGGAAGCAGGGACAGGGUGGCCUUUCCUUCACCCCGUGCUUGAAGGGAUGGCACUGCUCUCUCAGCAGCCCAGUGCUGAUGACUAACAGUUCCUGGUGAAGCACUAAGUGCUCUGCUUUGUGUUUUUUUCAAUAUUUUUUUCCUGCUGGCGAGGCGUGACGUUGGAUAUGUCAAAUGUGGAAACCUGGUCAGAACUCGUGACUCACGUCCACCUCAAAAGAGAGAACAGUUGAUCCAACGUCCUUCUCCUGACAGACAUCUUAAUAUGGAGACCCAAAGAAAAUCAUGGAGUCCUGGAGUGCUGCGAGUUGGAAAGGGCUGUGAAGAUCAUUUCUUUUGUGGGGGCAGAAGUUGAGUUAUAAAAGAAGUACAGUUCAAUUGAAAUCCUGCUGCUCCCCAUGGGAGCUCUGGUGUCAGCUCCACUCCUUCUCAGAGCUUCUCUCCUCGAGCUGCUUCAACAAUUUCCCUGGGAUUUAUCUUUCUGGGGAAGCCUGAGGAAGAUUUACUUCAUGAACAGCAUCAGGCAUUUAUGUCUCUGUUUGGUUAUUGCUCUCCCUGUGGCUUUUGAGGACUGUAACUAGGAAGUGGAAGAUGAAGUUGAAUGGUGGAAAAUCCCCCACACUGUUUAAAAAUAAGAAGACCAAAAAAAAAAAAAAGGAAAGAAGAAAGAACAAGAUCUAAAGCAAAGUUCCUCUGUUGUCGGGAAAGGAGGGAACUUCAUCCCCACUGUUGUGUCCAGCAGUGUCUGGUGAAAAUACAAAGUCAAAUGAAGAGCCAAAAUCCUUGCAGUGCCCCUGAUUUAUAUUGAUGGCUAAAAGGGGUUGUGCAGGAAGGAAAUGCUCUGGAUUUUCCAGAGCUUUCAGUAUCCUCCAAGGUCAGGGGACAGAAGGCCAAGCUGGUCUCCCCAUGUGUGCCAGGAUCAGGCAGAGCUAUCCAGGGCAAUUGCAGAAGCUUCUGGAAAAAUCAACCUUGUGCCAGAACACGAUUUUCCAGGAAUUUACACCUAGAGGCAAACAAACAGUGUCAAAUUUUUAUGUUUUUUGUAUCAAACUGGGCAGGAAUUGGUGGAGCCCAGUGGCUGUGACGUGCCAGCCUUCCCUGCUUGUCCCUGACUGCCCAUCUCUGUGCCCUGGGGCCAGAGCUGGAGCAGAACUCGCCAGGCUCACGUGCAUCCAUCCCGAAACCAGCCUUGUCUCCUCGGGGUUGUGAAAUUGAGAGGGGCAAUAUUAACCCAAAACCGAAACCCGGCGCGCGAGCCGGUUGCGUACAGAACCAACAGCGAAUUUACUGAAACACAGCUUUCAGUUUUGGUGAAAGCUGAACCUGGUUGGCAAUUGGAGUGAUUCAUUUGCUCCCUGGAUUGUUCAAAAAUGGAGCUGAUAGCAGCCAGCUCUCAGUUUCUCCUUUAUUAGGUGUCAUUUAUUGCCUGCACUGUCAGCACAUUUCACCCGCGGGGCAAACCCAGGGGCUGUGUGGGACUGUCCAAUCCAUUGGCUGCUCCACGCUGCCAAACCUGGUUUUCCAUCAAAAUUGACUUUUGGGAAUAUGCUUUAGGGGUGGUUAUGGGGGUUCUGGGGUUGAUUGUUGGACUAGGUGAUCUGGAAAGCCUCCUCCAGACUGGGUGAUUCCGCAUUUCUGUGAAGUGCCCCGUGUGGCUUCUGCUGUCACAGCAGCUUUUAGUUCUCCAGGAAUAAGGAUGGGAGGAAUAGGAGAGCUGGUGUUGGGUUUGGGGAAGAGGAGAGCUGGUGAUGGGUUUGGGGAAGAGGAGAGCUGGUGAUGGGUUUGGGGAAGAGGAGAGC